CAGGAAGUGGGCACCGUGGCAGCAGGAGCAGGAAGCUGAGAGCUCGUGCCUUUGACAGCAAGCACAAACCAAGGAUGGAGAGGAAGUGAGCAGAGGACAAGCUCCCUUUAGCAAGGUCACAUGUCUCCAAAACCUCUCCAAACAGUGUUGCCAACUGGGGACCAAGGAUUCAAAUCCCUGAGCUUACCCGAGGACAUUUCUCAUUCAAAGCCUGCUGCCAUGAGCCAGGAAGUACCUACUAAGGCGAUGGAGAAAUAUUGAUGGGAAAAAU
ensembl:lncRNA